GGAGGGUGAACGGCCACAUUGGGACUGAGACACGGCCCAAACUCCUACGGAAGGCAGCAG
rnacentral:rRNA from 1 species